UACGAAGGGUGCUAGCGUUGUUCGGAAUCACUGGCGUAAAGCGUGCGUAGGCGGCUUGACAAGUCUGACGUGAAAGCCCGGGGCUUAACCCCGGAUGUGCGUUGGAAACUGUCUUGCUGGAGGUCGGAAGGGGAAAGCGGAAUUCCUAGUGUAGAGGUGAAAUUCGUAGAUAUUAGGAGGAACACCAGUGGCGAAGGCGGCUUUCUGGGACGGUACUGACGCUGAGACGCGAAAGCGUGGGGAGCGAACAGG
rnacentral:rRNA from 1 species